GACGAACGCUGGCGGCGUGCUUAACACAUGCAAGUCGAACGAUGAAGCCUAGCUUGCUAGGUGGAUUAGUGGCGAACGGGUGAGUAAUACGUGAGUAACCUACCUUUAACUCUGGGAUAAGCCCGGGAAACUGGGUCUAAUACCGGAUACGACCAAUCUCCGCAUGGAGUGUUGGUGGAAAGCGUUAUGUAGUGGUUAUAGAUGGGCUCACGGCCUAUCAGCUUGUUGGUGAGGUAACGGCUCACCAAGGCGACGACGGGUAGCCGGCCUGAGAGGGUGACCGGCCACACUGGGACUGAGACAAGGCCCAGACUACUACGGGAGGCAGCAGUGGGGAAUAUUGCACAAUGGGCGCAAGCCUGAUGCAGCGAAGCCGCGUGAGGGAUGACGGCCUUCGGGUUGUAAACCUCUGUUAGCAGGGAAGAAGAGAGAUUGACGGUACCUGCAGAGAAAGCGCCGGCUAACUACGUG
rnacentral:rRNA from 1 species